CAUAGGCUACUGUUUGUAAUUAUAGUAAUGUUCAUUUGAAUGAUUUGUGCCUUGGCUGAUUCAAUACAAGACAAUUAAGACUUUGCUUUUUAGCUGUUACAAUUCCAAUGACACAGUGCAUGUUCAAGAAUGCAUGAAAGAAAGAACACAAACUAAACAUUGUUAGAUCUAUAUAGUAUUUAUU